AGACAGGUAGCCUUUACGUUCUGAAGGUUCAAACACUUCAUCCUCACCAUGGGUGUGCUGAGCAUGUGCUGCAGUUGAAGGUUUAUUAUCUAUGACAUCUUUUGAAGAUCAGCAGGAGCCUGAUACCUCUCCAAAAUUUUUAUGGAUAAAAAUCCGUAAGACACAAAA